CCUACGGGUGUCAGCAGUGGGGAAUAUUGGACAAUGGGGGAAACCCUGAUCCAGCCAUGCCGCGUGAGUGAUGAAGGCCCUAGGGUUGUAAAGCUCUUUUGUGCGGGAAGAUAAUGACGGUACCGCAAGAAUAAGCCCCGGCUAACUUCGUGCCAGCAGCCGCGGUAAUACGAAGGGGGCUAGCGUUGCUCGGAAUCACUGGGCGUAAAGGGUGCGUAGGCGGAUCUUUAAGUCAGAGGUGAAAGCCUGGAGCUCAACUCCAGAACUGCCUUUGAUACUGGGGAUCUUGAGUUCGGGAGUGGUGAGUGGAACUGCGAGUGUAGAGGUGAAAUUCGUAGAUAUUCGCAAGAACACCAGUGGCGAAGGCGGCUCACUGGCCCGAUACUGACGCUGAGGCACGAAAGCGUGGGGAGCAAACAGGAUUAGAUACCCCAGUAGUC
rnacentral:rRNA from 1 species